AGUUCAAACUUCAAAGUCCUUGUUCCAAGAAACUCUAUGAUCAUACAUUUAGACAACAAACAUAUUUGUUCGCUUUAUAUGCACCGCAUACAUUUGUAAAAUCAAUGAUUUUUAAUUUUUCACGGGAAUAAUUACAAAAUUCAAAAGUAUUCUUAGCUCUUAAAGCUUCAUGCUGCAAACUAACUAAUCCUAUGAUGUAUGAUCCACCAUCGUGGACGACAAUUUCUGUGCUACCCUAUUGUGGAUCCACCGUUAAGGAGUUUAUACAUGUAUGAUAGCAGCAAUCACUAGAUUCUUCCUUUUGUGGCUUUUGAUUCCAUUAAGGAAACUGGUAAUUGUAGUUCAAAGUUCAAACUACUCUUCUUCAGGGAUGCUAUGAAGCACACCAUCAUAUCCACCAUUAGAGGACACAACACUAACACGAUUAACAGGAAGUUGGACAAGUUCAUGUGCGACAUCUUUGAAUUCAAGAAGCCCCCCUUCUUUGCACUUGGCCAUUAAUCGA
rnacentral:lncRNA from 1 species